CAGUCGCCGCGGGAAUACGUAGGGUGCAAGCGUUAAUCGGAAUUACUGGGCGUAAAGCGUGCGCAGGCGGUUAUAUAAGACAGAUGUGAAAUCCCCGGGCUCAACCUGGGAACUGCAUUUGUGACUGUAUAGCUAGAGUACGGCAGAGGGGGAUGGAAUUCCGCGUGUAGCAGUGAAAUGCGUAGAUAUGCGGAGGAACACCGAUGGCGAAGGCAAUCCCCUGGGCCUGUACUGACGCUCAUGCACGAAAGCGUGGGGAGCAAACAGGAUUAGAUACCCCUGUAGUCCCUGUCUCUUAUAU
rnacentral:rRNA from 1 species